GUACAGGGUUUUUCCUGCGUUCAAAAUUGCGUGGCGGCCGCCUCCACCUAAUUUUGUGCCGCCCCCAGCCAGAGCGAUUGAUUUCGCUCAACACAGCGUAAAGCUCCAGCUGUGUUGAUUGAGUGUAUGAUGUCCCUCUGCAGCAGCAACGUAUUUUAACUGCAGUUGCAGCGUUGCGCCACUAUAGAGGCGCUAUAUCAACAGCAGUGCACCGGAAAGACCUGAAGCAUCUACCGAAGAAGAAACGGAUCGAAUCAUGUUUUUUCAAGUUUUUUUCCCGCUAGUUGGUGCUAUCGGCGACCUGAUUUUCCCCGGCGGCUGGUACAAACAGGUAAAUACUGCUUGUCUUUUUUGCAUCCAAGCAUGACGUGUUUAUUAAAAAAAAAGUUUCCUCCGUUUUUUUAGCGUUGCAGAUAUGACAGGCAAAAUCAGCCAGUACUUUAAAAAGCGACCUCGCGAGGAGGAAAGUCAAGAGUCCAGGUGAAACACAGCAGAGAAAAAACGUAACAGGCAGUUAAAAUGCUAUAACUCAUGGUAGGGACAACGUGGACAUUUGUGUUAGGUCUGAAAGUACUUCACAAGGGACUGGUGAUCGCGAGGGUCAGAAUGCAGGACAGGACGAG
rnacentral:lncRNA from 1 species